GAUGAACGCUGGCGGCGUGCCUAAUACAUGCAAGUCGAGCGAACAGAUGAGGAGCUUGCUCCUCUGACGUUAGCGGCGGACGGGUGAGUAACACGUGGAUAACCUACCUAUAAGACUGGGAUAACUUCGGGAAACCGGAGCUAAUACCGGAUAAUAUAUUGAACCGCAUGGUUCAAUAGUGAAAGACGGUUUUGCUGUCACUUAUAGAUGGAUCCGCGCCGCAUUAGCUAGUUGGUAAGGUAACGGCUUACCAAGGCGACGAUGCGUAGCCGACCUGAGAGGGUGAUCGGCCACCCUGGAACUGAGACACGGUCCAGACUCCUACGGGAGGCAGCAGUAGGGAAUCUUCCGCAGUGGGCGAGAGCUUGACGGAGCAACGCCGCGUGAGUGAUGAAGGUCUUCGGAUCGUAAAACUCUGUUAUUAGGGAAGAACAAAUGUGUAAGUAACUAUGCACGUCUUGACGGUACCUAAUCAGAAAGCCACGGCUAACUACGUG
rnacentral:rRNA from 1 species